rnacentral:rRNA from 1 species
ACUGAAUAGAUACCCAGGUAGUCCACGCCCUAAACGAUGUAUGCUUGGUGUUGGGAAGCAAAGUUCUCAGUGCCGAAAGGAAAAACCCAUUAAGCAUACCACCUGGGGAGUACGAUCGCAAGGUUGAAACUCAAGGGAAUUGACGGGGGCCCGGCACAAGCGGUGGAUCAUGUGGUUUAAUUUACGAUGCAACGCGAAGAACCUUACCUGGGCGUCGAAAUAGUAGGUAGUAGGACCCUGAAAGGGGAACGGAUGGGUUAAGUCCCAACGCCUCUAUAGGUGCUGCAUGGCUGUCGUCAGCUCGUGCCGUGAGGUGUUGGGUUAAGUCCCGCAACGAGCGCAACCCUACCUUCUCUAGUC